UACGUAGGGGGCAAGCGUUGUCCGGAAUUAUUGGGCGUAAAGAGCGCGUAGGCGGUCCGAUAAGUCGGCUGUGAAAGUCAGGGGCUCAACCCUUGAAAGCCGGCCGAUACUGUCGGACUAGAGUCCGGAAGAGGCAAGUGGAAUUCCCGGUGUAGCGGUGAAAUGCGCAGAUAUCGGGGAGGAACACCAAUUGCGAAGGCAGCUUGCUGGGACGGUACUGACGCUGAGGCGCGAAAGCGUGGGGAGCAAACAGGG
rnacentral:rRNA from 1 species